UCAAUUAGUCUGGCUCCUUUGGGAGCAGCACUGGCUCAGUCUGGCAGCUUUGCCAGUGGUCUUGGUUGGCUUUCCCUGGUUUCGCCCAUAUGAGUCUUGGUCUCCUGCUGCUGAAAGAGGAAACGCUUUUGCUGGCUGCACAGCUAGGGUCUCCAGAGAAGUCUGAGCUGUAGCUGGUGUGCAGCUGGCAAGCCUGAAUUUAACGCCAGCUAGCAAGCCUGGAGAAAGGAGUGUUUAUCAUCUUGGGUGUCCACAAUGGAGGAAAGGGGGUGCUGCAGCAGUAACAGAUGGGAUACUAUUCUGCUCUGGUUCCCCACAAAAGACUGAGGGAUGGCCUGAGGAUCGGCCUUGUGAACCUCACAGGAAUAAGAAUGGCUGAACUCUUAACAAUACAGGAGCCGCUGUGCCGGCGUAGCUGGGAUCAAAAGUGCACUGGAUUAUCCGAAGCAGCAGCUCUCUGUCACUUCCAUGGAUGUACCUCUAUGCCUCAGUGAUGAGCCACAGCAUUUCAUUUGACUUUUUUCCAGAGCCCAGGGCAGUCACACAUAACAUUGCUUGGGCUGGUCACACACCUCCACCUGAGAGAACGUGGCUGCUGAGAGAGCCAACGUCUUCCUCCUCAAGAUUUCUUCUCCUUCCCUUACUCCCUCCUUUCCUCCCUCCCUCCCUCCUUCCUUUGCUGUCCUUCGUGCUCUGUUUUGCAGCACGCUGCUCUGGCCUUCCCAUCCAAAGGACUUUCCAGCAGCUGCAACUGGAAACAAAACCAUGGACAAGUUUUGCUGAGGAAUUCAGCAUGCCAGCUGCAAGGAUCGGGCAGCACCAGCAAACACAAGCUGCAGAAGGGGUCUCCAGCUGCUGCAGGUGGUACUAUUGCUGCAGACAAGGCUGUCCCCUCUGCAUGCUCCUUCAUGGAGUGGGCUGGUGCCAUGCAGCGAUGGCCUUAUUCUCCACUAUGAUCGGAUGUUCAUUAGGCAGUCAGGUGGGGGAAACGGGGAAGCUAACAUCGAUAACAUGAGAUUUGGUCCAGGGAUUUCCCCUUUCUCCUUCUCCUUCCCUCCAGCUGAGCUCACUCCGGCAGGAGGAAAAUUCCCCCUCAUUGAGAUUAAUGAACCCGCCUUGCUGGCUGGGAGACAGGCUGCCGGUAUUACGUGUUAUGCUGCAUGUAUAUCCAUCAGCCACAAGGCUCUGGCAAGAGGCACUGGCUGGAAUUAACCUGCAGUAACCCUGCUGUGCAGGGGCAGCCUUGGCGGGGUGUGCCUGCCCCGGCUGUGCUGGAGUAUGAAAGCCAUUAUAAUCCACUCAUUCAUGGCGCUUAAAGAGCCAGAGGAGUUUUUUCCUUGUUCUCCUAGAAGGGAGGAUGGGUUGGAAACAAUAAUGCAUAGCAUUACCCAUCCUGAUGGGGCAUUGUGUGCUUUACCCAGCCCAGCUCGCCAUGGCAUGAGCACAACAAGUUUUAAAGUAACAUUUUUAUUAUGAACAAAUAAAAUUUCAGAUCA